UACGUAGGGUGCGAGCGUUAAUCGGAAUUACUGGGCGUAAAGCGUGCGCAGGCGGUUUGUUAAGACAGAUGUGAAAUCCCCGGGCUUAACCUGGGAACUGCAUUUGUGACUGGCAAGCUAGAGUAUGGCAGAGGGGGGUAGAGUUCCACGUGUAGCAGUGAAAUGCGUAGAGAUGUGGAGGAAUACCGAUGGCGAAGGCAGCCCCCUGGGCCAAUACUGACGCUCAUGCACGAAAGCGUGGGGAGCAAACAGG
rnacentral:rRNA from 1 species